rnacentral:rRNA from 1 species
GACGAACGCUGGCGGCAUGCCUAAUACAUGCAAGUUGAACGAUGAUAUUCUCUGCUUGCAGAGAAUUGAAGAGUAGCGAACGGGUGAGUAACACGUGGGGAACCUGCCCAUGAGAGGGGGAUAACAUUCGGAAACGGAUGCUAAUACCGCAUAAUGCUUUGGACCGCCUGGUCCAGAGACGAAAGACGGCUUUUGCUGUCACUCAUGGAUGGCCCCGCGCCGUAUUAGCUAGUUGGUGAGGUAACGGCUCACCAAAGCUGUGAUACGUAGCCGACCUGAGAGGGUGAUCGGCCACACUGGGACUGAGACACGGCCCAGACUCCUACGGGAGGCAGCAGUAGGGAAUCUUCCACAAUGGGCGAAAGCCUGAUGGAGCAAUGCCGCGUGAAUGAAGAAGGUCUUCGGAUCGUAAAGUUCUGUUAUUAGAGAAGAACAAGUCAAGGAGUAACUGUCUUGACUUUGACGGUACCUAACCAGAAAGUCACGGCUAACUACGUG